GCAUGCGGAGUUUAGUAAAUAACCCCCUUGAUGUUCUUGUAACUAUAAUUUAUUAUAAUUUUAUUUUUAACUAUAAGCCAUAUUGUUGCUAGUGUUGCCAAAUAAAUGAUUAUCAGCCAUACGAUUCCUCACUUGCAGGUGGGUGGCACAACACAUUCAAAUACUCCUCCUUAGGCUAGGCUGUCUUGUAAUUAUGUUAUCUCUUGAAGAUGCGCCGGUGAGUGUAAAGACUGCAUUACUUCAGAUAUAACUUUACAGAAAUAUACUCCUUUUUAUUAACAUAACUUUCUGUAUAUUUUAUAGAGGCCCAUUUGUAAUGCUCUGUUUCAUCAUAAGAAAUUAUAAUUGUGAACAGUUGUAUGUAUGUAUACACUAUAAUUAUUUUUUUGCCAUUUAUCUUUUUGCUUUUAGACAGGAUGUCAGGCCAGGCAUGCCUAUGCCAAGGAGGGUGAAAGACUGCUAUGAAAAAGUGGAAAAACAUAAGGAAGCAAACAUAAAAUAGAAGCAACGAAAAAUGAAAGAGGUGGAAAAAGAACAAAGAGUUACAAAGCUUAAUGAGGCUCUGGGAAACUAAAACAUGAGCUUUGCCUUACUUCAAAAAAUGGGCUAUAAAAAGGGCCAAGCACUUGGUAAAAAAGAUAUGGUGAUGGCAUUGUUGAACCAAUCCCUCUGAACAUCAAAACAGGCGAGUUAACUACAUUCGGUCAGCAUGUCAUUUCAUUGAAAGUGUAUUUGUUUAAAAGUCAAUAAAGCAAAACAUUGUCACCAAUAAAAA